UACAGAGGGGGCAAGCGUUGUUCGGAAUUACUGGGCGUAAAGGGCGCGUAGGCGGCCAGCACAAUUCAGUUGUGAAAUCUCCGAGCUUAACUCGGAAAGGUCAACUGAUACUGUGCGGCUAGAGUGCAGAAGGGGCAACUGGAAUUCUUGGUGUAGCGGUGAAAUGCGUAGAUAUCAAGAGGAACACCUGCGGCGAAGGCGGGUUGCUGGGCUGACACUGACGCUGAGGCGCGAAAGCUAGGGGAGCGAACGGG
rnacentral:rRNA from 1 species